UGGGGAAUAUUGGACAAUGGGGGCAACCCUGAUCCAGCAAUGCCGCGUGUGUGAAGAAGGCCUUCGGGUUGUAAAGCACUUUAGGUUGGGAAGAAGGUGGUUAUUUUAAGAGAUAGAUCACUUGACGGUACCGACAGAAUAAGCACCGGCUAACUCUGUGCCAGCAGCCGCGGUAAUACAGAGGGUGCAAGCGUUAAUCGGAGUUACUGGGCGUAAAGGGCGCGUAGGUGGUUGUAUAAGUUGUUUGUGAAAUCCCCGGGCUUAACCUGGGAACUGCAAGCAAAACUGUAUAGCUUGAGUACUGUAGAGGGUAGUGGAAUUUCCGGUGUAGCGGUGAAAUGCGUAGAGAUCGGAAGGAACAUCAGUGGCGAAGGCGGCUACCUGGACAGAUACUGACACU
rnacentral:rRNA from 1 species